rnacentral:rRNA from 1 species
GACAGAGGAUGCAAGCGUUAUCCGGAAUGAUUGGGCGUAAAGCGUCUGUAGGUGGCUUUUAAGUCCGCCGUCAAAUCCCAGGCUCAACCCUGGACAGGCGGUGGAAACUACCAAGCUGGAGUACGGUAGGGUAGAGGGAAUUUCCGGUGGAGCGGUGAAAUGCGUAGAGAUCGGAAAGAACACCAACGGCGAAAGCACUCUGCUGGGCCGACACUGACACUAAGAGACGAAAGCUAGGGAACGAAUGG